ACAAAAUUUCCAUUAUCUAUUCCCUCAAACUUUCAUGAGCCACAACAACAAAAAUUCAACACCCAAUAAGUAUAAAGGUUGCUCAUCUUAUCGAUCUUGAGUCGAAUCAAGACAAAGACUACUACCACCAAACACUCUAAACGAACCUCAACACGUUAGAUCAGGAUAAGUACCUAUUAUACCAAUUCCUUGAACUUUUAGUUUUAUAGUAACCCCAAGUAGUUUAUACGAGAAGU
rnacentral:lncRNA from 1 species